UACGUAGGGUGCAAGCGUUGUCCGGAAUUAUUGGGCGUAAAGAGCUCGUAGGCGGUGUGUCGCGUCGGCCGUGAAAACCUGGGGCUCAACUCUGGGCGUGCGGUCGAUACGGGCAUCACUGGAGUUCGGCAGGGGAGACUGGAAUUCCUGGUAUAGCGGUGAAAUGCGCAGAUAUCAGGAGGAACACCGGUGGCGAAGGCGGGUCUCUGGGCCGAUACUGACGCUGAGGAGCGAAAGCAUGGGUAGCGAACAGG
rnacentral:rRNA from 1 species